rnacentral:rRNA from 1 species
GAUGAACGCUGGCGGCGUGCCUAAUACAUGCAAGUCGAGCGAACAGACGAGGAGCUUGCUCCUCUGACGUUAGCGGCGGACGGGUGAGUAACACGUGGAUAACCUACCUAUAAGACUGGGAUAACUUCGGGAAACCGGAGCUAAUACCGGAUAAUAUAUUGAACCGCAUGGUUCAAUAGUGAAAGACGGUUUUGCUGUCACUUAUCGAUGGAUCCGCGCCGCAUUAGCUAGUUGGUAAGGUAACGGCUUACCAAGGCAACGAUGCGUAGCCGACCUGAGAGGGUGAUCGGCCACACUGGAACUGAGACACGGUCCAGAGUCCUACGGGAGGCAGCAGUAGGGAAUCUGCCGCAAUGGGCGAAAGCCUGACGGAGCAACGCCGCGUGAGUGAUGAAGGUCUUCGGAUCGUAAAACUCUGUUAUUAGGGAAGAACAAAUGUGUAAGUAACUAUGCACGUCUUGACGGUACCUAAUCAGAAAGCCACGGCUAACUACGUG